CACCUCUGCACUUCCUACUUUUCAUCUGCAAAAUUCAGUGGUGAAAUGAGAUGACCCCUGAACUGUUUUCCUUCUCUAACUGGAAGUUUUAGAUAAGCUGAAAAUGUUAACUUCACAAACAAAAACAUUGGGAAUCACUUCAACAGAGUGAUGGGGAGUCCCCAAGACCAAUGAAGAUGUGGGGAUAAAAACUGGUGUCAUGAGGGAUCAAGAAUCUUACUGACUCUCAAGGCAGCCACUCCUCUCUGGACCUCCAUUCCAAGAAGAUUGGUCAUCGGCUCUCGAACACAGCGUACGUCUUCCUUCCUCCGGCCAUUGUUCGUGUUGUGUUCUGCUCAUGGAAUGCUCCUCCAGCCUUCCUUUCCAACCAGCACUUUCCAGCCAAUUUUCUUCAAGGAAAUUGCUCUAGUUUGGAUGCCUGUUGAAUGUGUCACCCCCCCCCCCCCGCCCCUGGUUCCUAUGUAGGUGUUUGAUAUUCACUGUGACAUUUUCAGAGAACAGACUCUUAACCUGACUGUUGUGUUGUGCUUAGUGGUGGGGCCUCUGGGAGAUGGGUGGGCUUAGACGAGAGUCCCCAGGAGUGAGUAACAGUGGCGUCGUAAGAAAAUGCUCUCUUUUGCCUUCUCUCUCUCUCUCUUUUCUCUCUUUCUCUCU